CCUAAGGUAGCGAAAUUCCUUGUCGGGUAAGUUCCGACCUGCACGAAUGGCGUAACGACUUCCCCACUGUCUCGACCAGGAGCUCGGCGAAAUUGCAGUACGAGUAAAGAUGCUCGUUAAGCGCAGAAGGACGAAAAGACCCCGGGACCUUUACUAUACCUUGGUAUUGGCGUUAGGCGCGGAUUGUGUAGCAUAGGCGGGAGGCUUCGAAGCGGGUGCGCCAGCAUUCGUGGAGCCGCAAGGUGAAAUACCGCUCUGUUCUCGUUUGACGUCUAACCUCGACAAGUCAUCCUUGUCAGGGACAGUGCCUGGCGGGUAGUUCAACUGGGGCGGUUGCCUCCCAAAGAGUAACGGAGGCGCUCAAAGGUCCGCUCAGCCCGGUUGGCAAUCGGGUGUCGAGUGUAAUCGCACAAGCGGGCUUGACUGCGAGGACGACGGUCCGAGCAGGGACGAAAGUCGGAGAUAGUGAUCCGGUGCCGGCGCACGGGCGCGGCAUCGCUCAACGGAUAAAAGGUACCCCGGGGAUAACAGGCUGAUCAUUCCCAAGAGUCCAUAUCGACGGGAUGGUUUGGCACCUCGAUGUCGGCUCGUCGCAUCCUGGGGCUGGAGCAGGUCCCAAGGGUUCGGCUGUUCGCCGAUUAAAGCGGCACGCGAGCUGGGUUCAGAACGUCGUGAGACAGUUUGGUCUCUAUCCUCUGCGCUCGUUGGAAUCCUGAGGAGGCCUGCCCAUAGUACGAGAGGACCUGGGUGGACGAACCUCUGGUAUGCCGGUUGUCGCGCCAGCGGCACGGCCGGUUGGCUACGUUCGGGAGGGAUAACCGCUGAAAGCAUCUAAGCGGGAAGCCUGCUCCAAGAUUAGGAUUCCAUGGAUCUUCGAGAUCCUGUAGCCCGCAUGUUGAACACGUGUUUGAUAGGCCGGAGGUGGAAGUCCCGUGAGGGGUGGAGCCGACCGGUACUAACGGGCGAUGGCGACAUAAC
rnacentral:rRNA from 1 species